rnacentral:rRNA from 1 species
GACGAACCGUGCGAACGUUAUUCGGAAUCACUGGGCUUAAAGAGCGUGUAGGCGGUCCGGUAAGUCCGCUGUGAAAGUCGGGGGCUCAACCCUCGAAUGCCGGUGGAUACUGUCGGGCUAGAGUCCGGAAGAGGCGAGUGGAAUUCCGGGUGUAGCGGUGGAAUGCGUAGAGAUCCGGAAGAACACCGGUGGCGAAGGCGGUCUGCUGGGCAGUAGCUGACACUGAGGCGCGACAGCGUGGGGAGCAACAGG